rnacentral:rRNA from 1 species
GAUGAACGCUGGCGGCGUGCCUAAUACAUGCAAGUCGAGCGAACAGAUGAGGAGCUUGCUCCUCUGACGUUAGCGGCGGACGGGUGAGUAACACGUGGAUAACCUACCUAUAAGACUGGGAUAACUUCGGGAAACCGUAGCUAAUACCGGAUAAUAUAUUGAACCGCAUGGUUCAAUAGUGAAAGACGGUUUUGCUGUCACUUAUAGAUGGAUCCGCGCUGCAUUAGCUAGUUGGUAAGGUAACGGCUUACCAAGGCAACGAUGCGUAGCCGACCUGAGAGGGUGAUCGGCCACACUGGAACUGAGACACGGUCCAGACUCCUACGGGAGGCAGCAGUAGGGAAUCUUCCGCAAUGGGCGAAAGCCUGACGGAGCAACGCCGCGUGAGUGAUGAAGGUCUUCGGAUCGUAAAACUCUGUUAUUAGGGAAGAACAAAUGUGUAAGUAACUAUGCACGUCUUGACGGUACCUAAUCAGAAAGCCACGGCUAACUACGUG